UCCAACUUCAAAUAAACCCAAUAGAUCAGUAACUGAACUCAUUUGAUCAUGUCAAUGUGUGUGUUGUUUUGGGUUUUGAGAAUAUGAAAAUAUACAUAUUAAUGUCACUGAUGGAAUGAUAAGGUUUAGAGGGUCUACACCAGAAGUGAAUGGUUAUAGGAGGAAGGUAUAUAGUGUGAGCAAUUAAGCUUGGAAUGUGUUUAGUGCAGGGAAGUAAUUACAUGUGGAAGGCAUUGAUAAGGGGAGAGAGCCAUGGAUUAGUGAUGGAGGGGGGUUGAGGUCAGGUCAGGUCACUUUAGGGAGAAGUAAAAGUAUAUGGCCCGUAUCACUAGUGUCCUGCCUAGCAGUAAAGAACGAUGUUUGUACAGAUAUGGAGAAGGAGACUCAGCCUAUGAGGAACAGUUAAAUAUCAGUGCUUGUGUGAAACUGUUUUUGUCUAAUGCAGCUGUAUUGAUCCUCUGGGAAGAAUAAACAAGGUUAAGCUUUCAUAAUGUCUUUUCAGUUUUUUUACUCUGAGAAUUAGAACCUAACAGUUGUUAGGGUGAUGUUGCUUUUAAGCUUCUGCAUAUUUAGUUUUGGUUUUGUUUAUUUGUGUGUGUAUAGUUUAAAGUAACUCUGAAAAGUCAACAAGUUUAUUUGAUCAAUUAAUCACAUGAGUUCUCAUAUUUGAAAUAGCUGUGCUGUAGUUACCUAUAUUUUCAGGAAGUUUAAUGUAGGGUGGACCACAUGGACAGCUCCUUAGUGGUCAAUGAAAAUAAGGACAUUUUCUUCAGCGUCACUAAUGAUCUGUCACAACAUCAGACGUGAGUCUCCAUAUCCUCCUCUGUAGGUUUUUCUGUGUCCUACCAAGCACACAUCAGUUUUCUCACAUGACAAUCUUUGUGUGGAGUUCACUUCACUGACGGAAGAACGUGGAAAAUAUGUCUUUGUCUUAUAUUCUUCUCAUUUAUGUUGCCGGAGUUGCGGUAAAAGAAAGUUGUGCAGAUUCGGUUCCCACUCCCACUAUUGUAUUUUCCCCUGAUUACAUCAAUGUAGCUACACCUGUUACAGUACGCUGUGAGUCACCAGAAGGCACAGAGUGCAUUUUCUACAGAGAUCACGACCCCAAACCUAUAAGAACAGUGGAUUACAAGCAGGGUGCUUGCCAGUUCAAGUUGUUAUGGAAUGAGUUCAAAAAGUGGAACAAGACUGAAGUAGAUCUCAGCUGUGUAAUUCUACAGAACAGAGAAGAUAAAACGAUCAAAACCUCAAAACCUAGUGAUGCUCGAAGACUUAAUGUGGGUGAUCCAAUUGGAAUGCCCAGUGUUCAUGUGGAGAAGAUCGGGAAUUACCUCAAUCUUCGAUGUGAGUGCAAGGCUGGCACCUCAUGCUACUUUUAUCUGAACAAUGGUGACUCACACUUCAAAAAACUACCCUACAAAGACAAUGUCUGUGUGGGGAGAGUGGCAGAAGAGGAACUGCAGAGGAAGAGGAGCAGUGCUGGAGAGAUCUUCAUCACCUGUGCUGUGGAGCUGUUGGUAGAGGGUGAAGAUACUGUGACAUCACAGCGUAGUGAAUCCCUCGGUAUCACCAUAGAUGUUGUAAAUCCUCCAGGAGCUACUAGUUCCCCAUCAGCGUUCAGUUUAAUCAUAACUGGUCAGGAGGAGACAAGCAGCAAUGUCACAGCCCAAGGAAGAGUUUCUUCAGGUCCAGUGUUCCUCGUCAUCAUCAGUCUGGGUGCUGGUUCCCUUUUCCUGGUUCUGCUAGCUGGGUCUGUGCUGUGUGUUCUCCAACGCAAUUGUGGGGUUCAAUGCAGGCCUGUAAAUACUGGAAGCCCACCUGAGCAGCAAGACCAAACCCCACCUUGUGUCUAUUCUGUCAUCACAAAGCCGUCUAGGGAUGAGGUGAGUUGGUUUGAACCAGUGCAGUGUGAAGUAGCCUACUAUGCACUUUACUUCUACGAUAUCAAGCAAUAUUGCCAAUAGCACCAAUGACAACCCUACUGUGCACCCAGCUCAAAGUGACUUGAUCUCUCUCUUACAGGAAGAGGACAGUAGUCUGCAAUACGCUACUGUGACAUAUACCAGUGACCGAGCUAGUCUUCAAUAUGCAACAGUGACAUCUACCGGUAACCAAGUUGGACCUGGGCGCAGCAAGAUCAAGUUUGAAAUAGCUGGAGAGUACGCCCUCUUAGCAGAAUCAUAGAAGAAGAAACAUUUACUGGAUAACAUGUUUUGCCAUAGUUUACAGUUACAAUCCUAUCUUUUUUUCUUCAUAUUGGAUCAUAAUUUACUCAUAGCACAAAGAACACUGCCACAACAACAAAGAUAUCUACUAAUUUCUGAAAACAAGCAGCUUCAACUAUUUGCAUUUUAGGUUAAAUGAAAUAAAUGAAAAAUAAACUUUGUAUGAAACAUAGAAGAAAUAUUUUCCUAUAUUGAGUUACCCAAUCUAGUCAGCAGUCACCAAUCAGUAGUCACCAAUCGAUUUCACUCCUUGACAAGAGUCAAUAGAGACUCAAAUCCACAAGAGGGUAGAACACAUGUCAAACUUUGCUUGUUACAUCUCUACAUCUCUCUCUCCCUUUCUGAUCUCUCGCUUUCUACAUCUCUCUCUUUAACCUUGUCUGGUGUAUAUCAGUUUUCAGUGGUGGAAAAUUACUCAACUGUCAUAAAGAUACCUUCAUAGAAAAUGACUCAAGUAAAAGUCACCCAGUAAAAUUCUACUAGAGUAAAACUCUAUAAGUAUUUGGUUUAAAAUUGUCACGACACCGACGGAUGGUGGCGCCCCUCCUCGGCCGGGCGGAGCUCGGCGGUCGUCGUCGCCGGCCUACUAGCUGCCAUCGAUCCUUUUUUGUUUCACUUUCUGUUGGUUAGGUCUAGGUAGGCACGCACCGGUUUUGGGUUAGUUAUUAGUAGGGGGGGUUAUUUAAUUUAGCAUAGGAUGUCUGUGUUUGUGCGUGAUUA
rnacentral:lncRNA from 8 species